rnacentral:rRNA from 1 species
AUUGAACGCUGGCGGCAGGCCUAACACAUGCAAGUCGAGCGGAUGAGGGGAGCUUGCUCCUUGAUUCAGCGGCGGACGGGUGAGUAAUGCCUAGGAAUCUGCCUGGUAGUGGGGGAUAACGUUCCGAAAGGAACGCUAAUACCGCAUACGUCCUACGGGAGAAAGCAGGGGACCUUCGGGCCUUGCGCUAUCAGAUGAGCCUAGGUCGGAUUAGCUAGUUGGUGAGGUAAUGGCUCACCAAGGCGACGAUCCGUAACUGGUCUGAGAGGAUGAUCAGUCACACUGGAACUGAGACACGGUCCAGACUCCUACGGGAGGCAUCAGUGGGGAAUAUUGGACAGUGGGCGAAAGCCUGAUCCAGCCAUGCCGCGUGUGUGAAGAAGGUCUUCGGAUUGUAAAGCACUUUAAGUUGGGAGGAAGGGCAGUAAGUUAAUACCUUGCUGUUUUGACGUUACCAACAGAAUAAGCACCGGCUAACUUCGUGCCAGCCGCCGCCGUAAAAC